AAAAAAGCAGCAUUUAUUGUUGCUUUUUAUUACUGUUACUACCAUUAUUAUUAAUAACAGAGUACUUUUCUGAAAAGGGGGCCAGACCCCAAAAUCGUUUAUCUUCCUCAUAGCCAAAGCCUUAAAGAAAAGUCUAGUAUGAACAAAUGAUUUUUAACAAAAGUAAAACUGAAAUAUUUUUCUCCCCUCCAAAUGUUUUGAAAGUGAAAAGAGAGUAAUAUUUAAAAAGCGUUUUAUUUGUUAAUGUCACAUAAGAAAUUUAAGAAAGUUACAUUAUCUUAAAAAACACAAUUAACGCAUUUUAAGAGUAACCCUCCCCCACCCCGCUUCCCCUCAUGAGCUAAGAAUCUAGAAGUAACCACAAACAGUUUUGUGGAAUCCUUCAUCCAGAGCGCUGACAUGGUGAUUAGGUUAAUGCCCCCUUACAAAACUUCUCUAUUAAAAAAAAAAUUUGUAGACUUGUUUAUUACAAAAACUUCAGUACAAAAGUUCUAUAUUGAAAAAUGCUUUCCCCUCCCUCACAGCACCAUUGUACAUAGAGAAAAAUCAAGAGCAGACUGCUGUCUAGAUGGAGCAAUCUUCAAAUUAUAUCCAGACACACAGUGACUUCUCCCCUGGAAUGUCUAUUUACGUGUCACUUGGAAGCUGAGUAAUGCUAAUACACAGCUGAAGGUGAAAACUGCUGUUCAAUGACCUGCACACUUAGGAAACGAGACCAACCACACCAGGUAACAUGCCGGCUGAUUCCUCUGCUGCACUUCCCGAAGCAUCAGCACCAGGUUCACCAACUGGUCCAGAUGCCUCUCCUGUUAUCCAUUUUUUUAUUACUCACUAAUUCCUUAAAACUUCACAGUAUGACUUGCAACUCGUCACUUGACUAGACUGAAACUGGCUUCUUGAAGGUCACCAAAAACACUUAUCAACUUGAAAGACCUCUAAUGUGAAGUCAAACAGCUAAUAUACCCUCUUUCUUUUUCCUCUUGAACUUGGUAUCAUUUUCUCAUCACAAAAGCUAAAAACCUCACCCACCUUAAUGUGUUUCCUUUCUCCCAUCCUCAAGUUCACCAGCACUCUGCCCUGAGGAAUCCCCAUUUCUGUAGUCCUUCAGUGUCUGCAAACUCCCUUCUGGAGUCCAUUCCUCUGACACUGUCUGGGUUUCUGUCUGGGUUUCCUCUCUGCUCCCACGUGUGCAGAGGCUACCUGCCUCAGCAUUCGGAUUACGGCCAUUUAGCACGAGCCUUCCUACUUUAUCUCUCACUUGCACCCUACAAUACAACUGGAUGGAUGGACAGACAACUUGGUGCUUAAGUCCUGACAUAUCCCUGUGAUGAAUUAAAGACCAUCACAAAUUCACCACUCCUCACCUCCAAGAAGCAGAGACUAUUUACCCUCCCCAUGGAGCCAGAGCUGGCCGUCUGACUGUGACUUAGAGAAUACGGUCCUAGCUUUUAAGAGAUCUGGGGCUCUCCAUUUUCACCCUCGUGGAAGCCACUGCCGGGUGUAAGAAGUUUGGCUUACACUACCAAACCAGAGGCCACACAGAGAGACGCAUGGACAUCCCAGCCCCGGCCAAGCUCCCAGCUGAGCACAGCUGCACAGCCGACUUCACUCCCCGUCACAUGGGCCAGAAGAACCACCAGCUGAGCCCAGUCACACCACAGAAUCAUGGGAAGUAAGAAACCAAUGUUGUAAGCCACUAGGUCUUGGGCUGGUCUGUUACUAUAACAACGGACAUUCCAAACACCACCUGCCACCUAGUACCCAAGUGACUACCCAUCCUUCCUAACACUGGGCAAGCAGAUUUCCCAGAAAUCUUCUCAACUAUUCCAGGGUCUGGACAACCAACCCUGCGUCUGUCUAACCGGCUGCAACCUGGUGCUCUGAUGAGCUCGCCAGAACCUUGAGGUACCUCUUACACUGUUGGUUUCCUUCCAAUCAUUGUAAAGCUUCCUGUGAAGGCCAGGAUCUUGUGCUUAUUUCUUGUUAAAGACAAGUCUGAAGUA